CGGGCUGGGCCGGGGCACUCGCGGGCCUCGGUCUCCACACCAGGAAUCGUCUUAGCCAGCCUGGGGCUGACUUUGGAGUGGCAGUUGCUUCCGCCUUCUCUCCCGAGAAAAGGGUAACCAAUACAUAGUCACUACUCAAGAAAAAGAAUGUUUCUUUGUGUGCCUGUGGUCCAUUCCUGAGUACUUCCCACCCCUUCGAUCUAUUAAUACAGUGUAAGACUUCCGAAAUAAAAAGUUACCCAAUUAAAAACAGAAUAUCAACCCUGCCGGUGUGGCUCAGCAUCGAUCGAUGAACCAGAA